rnacentral:miRNA from 1 species
GUUGGGAGGAUGGAGCGGUU